rnacentral:rRNA from 1 species
GACGAACGCUGGCGGCGUGCUUAACACAUGCAAGUCGAACGAAGUGGCGAACGGGUGAGUAACGCGUAAUCAACCUGCCCUUCCGAGGGGGACACCAGUUGGAAACGACUGCUAAUACCGCAUACUGAAGGAGGGGAUUGCGUCUGAUUAGCUAGUUGGGGGGGUAACGGCCCACCAAGGCGAUGAUCAGUAGGCGGUCUGAGAGGAUGAACGGCCACAAUGGGACUGGGAAACGGCCCAGGCUCCUACGGGGGGCAGCAGGGGGGAAACUUCCGCAAUGGAGGAAAGUCUGACGGAGCAACGCCGCGGGGGUGAUGACGGCCUUCGGGUUGUAAAGCUCUGUUAAUCGGGACGCGGUACCGGAAGAGAAAGCCACGGCUAACUACGUGCCAGCAGCCGCGGUAAUAC